rnacentral:rRNA from 1 species
UACGUAUGGUGCAAGCGUUAUCCGGAUUUACUGGGUGUAAAGGGUGCGUAGGUGGCAUGGCAAGUCAGAAGUGAAAGGCCGGGGCUCAACCCCGGGACUGCUUUUGAAACUGUCAGGCUGGAGUGCAGGAGAGGAAAGCGGAAUUCCUAGUGUAGCGGUGAAAUGCGUAGAUAUCAGGAGGAACACCGGCGGCGAAGGCGGCCUGCUGGACCGAAACUGACGCUGAGGCGCGAAAGCGUGGGGAGCAA